rnacentral:other from 1 species
AGUUCCCUGUCGUGUUCGUGACGGGUGAAUUGAAAAUGAGCCAACACCUGACUCUAGGGAGCUCACAUUCGAAUGCGUAGGGCAGACCGCUCUGUGCGGAAGCGCGAAACAAUCGAGAGGGCACCCACCUUGGAGAAAGGUUCAUAUCACUUCACUUGGCGGCACUGAGGCAGGGAACUU